CAGUAGCCACGGUAAUACGUAGGGUGCAAGCGUUAAUCGGAAUUACUGGGCGUAAAGCGUGCGCAGGCGGUUUUGUAAGUUUGCCGUGAAAGCCCCGGGCUCAACCUGGGAAUUGCGAUGAAGACUGCAAGGCUUGAAUCUGGCAGAGGGGGGUAGAAUUCCACGUGUAGCAGUGAAAUGCGUAGAGAUGUGGAGGAACACCGAUGGCGAAGGCAGCCCCCUGGGUCAAGAUUGACGCUCAUGCACGAAAGCGUGGGGAGCAAACAGGAUUAGAUACCCCAGUAGUCCCUGUCUCUUAUAC
rnacentral:rRNA from 1 species